rnacentral:rRNA from 1 species
GACGAACGCUGGCGGCGUGCUUAACACAUGCCAGUCGAACGGAAAGGCCCCUUUGGGGGUACUCGAGUGGCGCACGGGUGAGUAACACGUGAGUAACCUGCCCUUGACUUCGGGAUAACUUCAGGAAACUGGGGCUAAUACCGGAUAGGAAUCCUUGCUGCAUGGUGGGGGUUGGAAAGCUUCGGCGGUUUUGGAUGGACUCGCGGCUUAUCAGCUUGUUGGUGGGGUAGUGGCUUACCAAGGCUUUGACGGGUAGCCGGCCUGAGAGGGCGACCGUCCACAUUGGGACUGAGAUACGGCCCAGACUCCUACGGGAGGCAGCAGUGGGGAAUAUUGCACAAUGGGCGGAAGCCUGAUGCAGCAACGCCGCGGGCGGGAUGACGGCCUUCGGGUUGUAAACCGCUUUCAGCAGGGGCGAAGCUUGUGGUGACGGUACCUGCAGAAGAAGCACCGGCUAACUACGUG